ACACAGAGGCAUGUAUUUCCCUCUGUUUUUCUAAUCUUUAUGUGUCCCUUGUAGAACUCUGUGAUUUGUGCUAAAAACAGUGCUGAGAAAUAAGAUGAAGUGACAUGAACACUGGUUUGAAAUGCUGGAUAUCUGAAACCCUGCCUUGUUCUGACUGAGACCUUUGUAUGACAGCACAAUUAUUUCACUCUUUAUGCCUGCACUCUUCCCGUCACUCUUCCAGUCUUAGAGAAGUGUGGGGAUAAAGUCAACAAAGGUCGAGAUGCUGCAGUAAGAGAGGCUGCAGCACAGAUCAGUAGAUAAAAUCUCAAAAAGCCUCACUAUGGUCAGAGAGACACAUCCAGUAACACCUCUGUGAACUAGCACAAAUGGAAAAACGCAGCAGCCUGCAAACUGCUCGGCUACUGCACUGCUGUGUGAAGGAGGGGUUGUGUGUGUUUGGACUUCUGAGCACAGUGGGGUCUCUCUCCUCCGGUUACAGUGAGCACAGAGACAGCAGGGAUCCAUACCAUGAUCUUUCUACAAGGCUGCACAGGAGCAAAGGGAACGUGCAGGACACAUAUAUUCAGGCUGGUUCAGCCUAUAGAUCUAAGAAUUCUGGAAAGACAGGAUAAAGUCUAAUGGGGCUGGUUUAUAUAAAUGCCAUUCUGACUAAAGCAGGGAGCAUAAUUAUAAGAAAUUACAACUUGUUUCAUCCUGCAACACUCACCUGCCAGUGAUGACAUGUUUGUAGGGAAGGCUUUGUGAUAAGAAAUCAAACCAGCAAGAUUCAAAGAGAACCAGAUGCCUUUGUAAAGGCAUGAAGGCAAUUGGGUCAUUAAAACAUGCUACAGGCUGUUUUGGCAUAUGGCGAAGGCCACGAUAGCACUCAUGUAAUACUUGUAUUAAAUCUUCUUGCACCAAAGGGCUCUUUGGUGCAAGAAGUGAAUGUCACAUACAUUGUAAAAAGCUGCAACACUAUUGGAUGAACAAAAAAUUGAAAGACCAUUUGAAAGUGGCCUUUCAGAGGCCAUUGCUCUGGUUGCUGGAGCUAUACAUUUCCCAUAAAGCAAUUUAAUACUUAAUUUUUGGUUUGACUAUUAUAGACAGAAUUUUCUGCUUCAGCCCUUUAAUGAGUUCUAAGUAAAAUAAAGCUUCCUUAUUACUAAAAUUGAGAAGGUACUAGAAACAGGACUUGCACUGCUGCAACUGAAAGUUGCGAAUAAUAAAAUCUCAACCUAAUCAGAUAAUAUUUACCACAAUAUAAAUUGCUUUUCUCUAGAAUAAACGAUGAAAUCAUGUUUUAAGUAUACUACAUACGGGACCAGGCAAGGGCAGGAGUUAUUAUUCUGUCUUGUAUCAGAUUGAUCAUAAAGGUAUUGCUAUAUUAUAAUGUCACUAUAAUAUACAAAUGCUGGUCAGAUGUGCAUUUUAAAAUGAUGCCAUGUUGCUCUUCUAAACAAUUUCCAAAAUUAUAAAUUAUUUACAUAAAGAUGAGUCAUUGAUGAUCUUACUUUUUUAUUUUAGACUGUAAAUUCAUGUUUACAAACCCAAGAGAUGUACACUCAUUCAUUUAAUAUGUCUGACUACAUUAUUUUAGAAUUGUCUGUGAUAUUAUUACAGGCAAUUUAACUCAGGGUAUUAAUUUAAUUUUUAAUGAAAACUAGCAUUGUGACCUUAUUCUAGGGAAAAGGAUGGGUAAGAAGCAGAAGCUGUUGGAAACAGCUGCAUUUUGUAAUAAAUUUGUUGCUGUAAUUAGAUUUAUUUAUAUUUUUCUAUAAUUUGUUUUUCUAUAUUUUUUGUUUAAUUUUUUCUUUAUUUUCUGAAAAAAAAUAUUACAGGUGGUAGAAAACAAACCAAAACACAGAAGAUUUGGGAUCAUUUAAGUGAACUAUCAGGUAGAAAAUGCCGUUUAAUAUAGAAAAAUGUUAAACAAUUCAUCUGGGAGGAAGGAAUCAGUGUAAGGGAUCUGUAUUAAAAAUGCAGUCAUUCAGCAUACUGAUUAGGAAAGAGAUGAAAUAGUUAUAGAGAAAUAACUGCAAACAUGAAUUCCAGUGCAUUGUAGCAUUAAGAAUUUUGAACAAUAUACUGGGGAAGAGAAAGCAACAUAGCUAUCAUAGAAGCUGGAUUGAAAUUUCAUUCAAAACAGGAUUUCAGUUUCUUGCAUUUUUUCCUUAGUGGAUGAAAAAAAAGAAAAAUAAUUGCUCAAAGCAGUUUUUCAUAUCAGUGAAAUAUUUCCUUUAACAUUUGCAUGGAAAUGUCUGUUUUUUCAGAAUCUACUCUCUCAAAAGGGACUGCUCUAUAUAGAAAAAAAAUGCGCCAAACCAGAAAUUCCAGCUAUACAGAUGUGUACAUCAUUUACAGAUGGAGGAGUAUUGAUGCUGCCUUAAGCUUAUACUCAUAUUAAACUGAAGUGCAAUGCAGGGAAUACUGCAUGUAGUGAUUAACUCCUUACAUCUGAACUACCGGAAUAGUCAAGAAAUAAUUUCUGGUUUUCAGUUCUUUCAGGCUGUUUUUCUGCCCAGCAUCUUCUUUACCGAGAUCACAGGUAAUCAGAAAAGCAGAGGGUGCCAAGUUAAACUCUUGGGUACGUUUGAAUGACGUGUUAGUCCUGUUAGCUGUUUCCAGAGUCAUGCUUUUAUCGAAGUGCUGCAGAAUAUGGUCAAGUGCUGUCCAGGUAUCCAUUUGCCCUGCUUCCUUAGAUUCUCAUAAUGCAAAAUUUUUUUUUUUCAUGUUUCUGCAUCAUCUGUACCUAUGCUUCUCCAAUAUUCUCGUUUAAAAGCCUUUUGUGCUGUCUCACUUUUUUUUUCUGUUGGACUAGAAAACUGGAUUGUGCUGCAUUAGCAUGGGGCAGCGUGUGCAUGUCUGCCUCUGUUUGUCCAGCCUGUGUGCAACCCUGCCAGGGGCAAGGCAGGACCACAGCACUGCUAGGCACUUCUCUCCCGGGACAAUGGCCCAUUGUCAUGCCAGCUUAAGAGCUGCUCUACUGUCUGCCCAGCCCAUGAGAGGUCAGCGGCUGGGGAGAUGAGUGUGUGUGUCAGCUACUCCUGUUCACAGUGAAGUAUUUUAACAUCCUAAUUUACACGGACAAUUUAAUUAGAGAGGGACUGGACAUCCAUGCCUUCCUGACAGCAUUGCAAGAAAGACAUGAUGCCCAAAAGAUAGGUAAGAAUCAGCAGGAAUAUAUUUUGUCGAAGCAUGAUGUCAUAGGUGUUUUAAUGCAUCACUGCACAAGAACAGGAGGUUACCUGGCAGCUGUGGUGGGUGUGGGAAUACUGCUGAAUGUAUUCUGCCAAAACAACUGACACAACCGUUCAGACACAUUCAGAAGGAUCACAUUUCAGCAGAGUUGUAUGGUGUGGUCCAUGCAUGUAUCAGAAUCUCUAUACCUAUAAUCUCUGUACUCUUAUACCACUGCCAUUUAGUCUUUGAAAUGGCAAAAAUUUCCAUCAGAGGGAUGCUACGUGCCACCUAUCACAUCAGCAUCCUGCACAGCUAGAUUGGAGCAGGUGACCACAGAGCCUGGCUUUAUUUUCAAAUACAUGCUUAUUUAUGCAAAUAUAUGCUUAUGAAGAACAGGGAGAAGAAAAAUAUUAUCGGUUUAAAAAAAAAAAGUCUCUGCAGAGAUCCUCACUCAAUACCCUUUGCCUGACUUCGUGUAGGGGCCAGAGACCAGCAGAUGGCAAUCUCCUCCUGUCUCAGGAAGAGCAAUGUUUUACUGCGGGGCCCUUGUACGCAUCUUCCCAGUGCUUAUUGCAGUUUACUUGAAGGGCAAAAAGACCUGGAAAACGUAGGCAGCCUUUGUUAGGCACAGAAUGUCAUAAUAUGGCAAAGCAAAAGUGAAUUUCUACUUUAUGCAAAUCCUAGCUUCUGGUAUCUGAGAAAGAAAAAGCAAGCUAACCUAAUAGAAUGAAUUUGUAUUAGUAUUUUUCAUUUUGAAAUACAGGACACAGGGCUAUUUUACAGCAUCAUGCUAUUCCUCCUGUGCGCUGCUAAUCUUUUAAUGCGCACUUUAGAAAAAAAGAAAAUUGUUGAUUUCCCUGUACCCUACAUUUCCCUUUCCCCGUCAGUGUUUAAAAUGGGAAGAAAUAAUGUGAUCCUCAGCUGACUUAAAAAGGAGUCAAGGAACAAAAGAAAAGCAUUUUUCUUCCUAUAGUGACAAAUUUGCCAUGCUAGAGUAAUGUGUCCAAGCAGCAGUGUGAGUCUAGUUUAGCAUUUGAAUUGGAAAAUGGAUGGUAUUACAGGUAUUGCUGUGUAAUUUUUAUACACAUUUUUUAUUGUGGAGAAGAAGAUUAAUGCUGCUAAUUUCAGUCAUGUGAAACUCUGAGCUGAUAAAGGAAUGAUAUUUUUUGAAAAAGCAAUAUUCCUAUUUUCCUUUUGAAAAAGGAAUAUUCCUGUCUGGUGCUGGAAAUAAUUUUGUCAGCAAUCUCCCCAUAGUGCUUUAAAUGACUAUGCAUUAUUUCAUGAAGUAUCAUACUGCAAACAUUUGAUCAUCCAUAACAUAAUGAUGGAAUGAUGGAAAAGAAGACUAAAUUAAUAUUUUGGAUAGUCUGACACUGAUAAUAAUAUGAGAAAGCAUCUCUGUGAAUGUAGGAUUUUCUGUACUAUCCUUCAAUGUAAUUCUUGAUAUGCUGUCCAUCUGGUACCCUCUACAGUAGAUUGCAGUCUUGAUUUGUUACAUAUUACUACUUAGCCGAGUGGCAUGGGCAUCCCUUUAUGAACAGUGUUCAUAAGAGAGCAAAAAGUAGCCUGUGUCAGUGCCUUUAGGACAGGAUGGAGGGGCAAAUACUAUAUUAACUGUGCAAAGACUGGGAGGAAAGCAAUGCUUUCACUGCUGAGCAGGAGACCUGAAAGCACUGUGAUCAUGCAUGUCAGCAUAGCUGAGGUAAGGGGAGCUGGUUUAAAGUGAAUAUUACAGCCAGGGCUGAUUCUUGUGCUUUGUUUUACUUUAUGGAAGGGAUUUUCAUCGGACUAUGUUAAUACUGUAUGAGCUGUAAAACGUUAUGAAAAGCACUCUCUAUAACCAGACACUCCACCAUGUACAGCUUACUCCAGCUUACAGGUCCUCCUGCAUUUUACAGGCAGUCAACAUUUCUUUAUAUAAGAAAACCAGAUAGGGAGGAACCCAAAAUGCUUGUAGCAACAUUGUGUUUUGAGCAAAACGUAGACUGAUGGACAUGCCAUAACAGAAGAUAAAAACUGGCUUAUAUUAAAAUGGGUGAAAAGAAAAGAAAUCGGUUGGUUCAGUGGAUAGAAGGAAUUGAUUUAUGAGGAAAAUUUAUAGAACAUUAAAUUUUCUAAAUGACAAGGGAUAAAAGUGGUUGAGUACAUGCAAAUAUAGUUCUGAAAAUAUAGGCUCAUUAGCACAACAAAUAUUGCUGGAAUUAUUUUUCAUGAUGAAAAGAACAUCUCUUGUGAUUAUAUUAAAUAGGAAAACAGAAAUUAAAAUUGCCUUUUAUGCAAAAACCUUUAUGUUGUAAGCCAUCUUCCAAAGGAAAUAAUACACUUCCACUGCUUGAAACAGCUAAAUGUUCAUUGUAUAAUAUAAGAUGGGAAUAUAUAAGCCUUUUUCAUCUCCAUCUUGUGUGCUUAAAUGACAAAAAAAAGCUACUUACAAUUUCUUCUAAUCCAGAGUGAGCUGAAUGUUUGGUUACACUACGGUACUAUGGUGGCAGAGUGAGAGAAUUAUUUUCAGUACCUACAGUCAAAAUUUGUCAUGAUACCUACAUUUGGUACCUCAGUAACACGUGUCCUCUGUGGAGAACAGGGAUAUGUCCUUUUAAAGGUGAUUAAAGGUGCACAAUUAAAGCAACAGCUAGGCUUAAUUUAAAUGUUCUCAAUCACUCUUCAGAAAGACCAGUUUUUUUUUUCCAUUUCCCUACUGUUUAGAUGAGGAACCUGCACUCCUUUGAAGCCUACCCUAGAGUCUUAAAAUUAUAGGUAGCACCUCACUAUGUAUCUGGUUAUAUGUAUGUGCUUUUGAAUCAUUUGACUGCUUUUCCAGGGACAGUCAUGUACUUUUGUUUUAUUUAAAAUCAGUAAACAAGGCUACAAUUCAAAAUUCUCCUUUUCCUCAGCAUUUGGGGAGAUUUUACACCAUGCUGUGUUCAUGUAAAUGACUACAGAAAAUGCAAAUACUAAAAAGAAAAAAAGUUGGCUUAUUUUUCUUGACAACUGUGAAUUCUUUUAAAGCUGUGAUUGGUGUUCUUUUUUUUUAUCCUAAGCAGGGACUGAGAAAUCUGAGGCUACCAUACUGUUUUUUAGGGCUGUCACUGGACUUAACUGUUACAUGGGUUUUCAUCAGCCUUUUUCAAACAUUUCUGGAAUGCUGCUUAAAAUGAAGCUUCUGAUUUCUGACAAAGAACGAGGAACGGCAGCACACGUCUUUCUGGUGCCUUAAUGACUUUUGGAUUGCAGUUCACAGCGAUGAAACUAGUUCAAUCCAGCAGGAUUUAACUAGUCUAAGGAUAGUUUCAUUCCUUCAGUCCUGCCACAUAUGUUGUGACAUAAAUGUUACCAGAGGACUUUUGGGAGGAUUUAAUUUCUAGAACAUUAGGCCCAGAAUAAAGUGCUUCCAUUGCCAUUGACAUUUCCAGAACAACUCUCAGAACCUCAGUCCCUCUUGGUUUUAUAUCAAACCUACAGUUUUAUGGGACUGCCAUUCAGGUAAGGAUAUUCUGGUGAAGCAAAAUAAACUAACUUGUUAUCUGGCAUUGUUUUACUGAAGAAUUUUUUAAUCUUAAAUAUACACUUAAAUGAGAAUGGAAGGAUUUUUAUAAAGCGGAGGAAACAAAAUAUUUACUAUGAAAAUUCAACAGUGUUGGACUUUUGUGCCCGAAGUUUAACACUUGUUUGUACUUUUUGUUUUUGCAGUAGGAAAUAAUUUUGAUUUUUGUUUUGUUUUGUUUUCUUGGUGUUACUUGAAUUUCUUUCCAGUAAACUAGUGUAACCCAUGGUGGUGCUACCAGUGAGAAUCAAACUCUCAGAAACCAUGAUGUUAUGCUUGAAAUCUCUUUUCAUGGGGAAAGAGAAAAUGUACCUGAAGUACACAUAUGCACAGGUAUCUAAAAAGCCAAAAAGUCUUUAGGUAAGUGAAAUUUAAGAAUUGAAUAAUAGUUAGUCCAGAUGAAGCCAUUACAAUAAAAGCAGGGAUAAUAAGGUAGUUAAAAUUGUAUACAUGCACUUUCUAUCCUGUUCCUGAUGUCAUACUCACCUUUCCGCUGCUCCUCUGGUCCUAAUGUCAGUGUUUUUAUUCUAGUAAGGAGGUUAACAAUGAGUUGUCAGCACUUGAAGUCCAUCACUGAGGUGUGAUGUUCAUGAUAAUGAUUUCUUCUUCACUCAAGGAUGCAGUUGUAUCUUUUUAGAUUUUAACCAACAUGCUUGUACAUCUUGGUUCUUUGUUCGUCUGCAGAUCCAUGCUAAUCACAAUUUACCACACUUGGUACUUUUUAUGUAUUUUAUAUAGUAUUUCUUUGUAUUCUGAGCUGCUACUAAGCUUAGUUUUGGCCAUCUCUAGGUCUGCAUUUCUUUAAUGGAGUACUGAGGAAUUGUUUACAGCUGUGCAACCUCCAGAGCCAAUCUGUGCCCCUUCUUUUUUCGUCCCAUUCUCCUCCAUAUCACAUUCUUUGUCUUUGCCUCUUAAGACCUCUGCAUGGCAGGCUUGUAUUUCCUAUGUUACAUUAUUAUGCUGGGUUUGUAAAGCUAUGGUGAUAUCACACAAAAAUCAAAAAAAAAAAGAAACAAAUUAGCUAUAGCGAACAGAUAAUUAAAAAUACUGGUAAAGCAACUGUCUUGGAGCAACCCCAGAUGACAGCUAAAUACCUUGUAUCUGCUUGCUUCCUACUCCUUUUCCCACAACUCACAUAAAACCCAUGGGUUGAAGUAAGAAUAAUUUAAUUAUUGAAAUAUAUAUUAAUAGACAUCUGAAAUAAAGUAAAAUAUGAUAGUAAAAAUGAUAAUGAAAAGAAGAGGAAGAGAGAGGAGUAAAAGUCAAGAAAAAGUAAUGCACAAUACAAUUGCUCACCAUCCACUGACCAAUGCUGGCCCUGUCCCAAAGCAGUGAUCAGCACUUGGCCAGUUUUCCCCAGUUUAUAUGGUGGGCUUAGUCUGUGGAGUGGAACAUCCCUUUAGCCAGUUUGGGUUGAGCUGUCCUGGUGAUGGCCCCUCCCAGCUUCUUGUUGCACCUCCUCAACUGACAGAGCAUGGGAAACUGAAAAAUCCUUGACUUUAGGCAAGCAUUGCCUAACAACUAAAACAUCAGUUUUAGUUGAAUCUGAAUCCAAAUAACAGCAUUGUAUCAGAUGCUAAGAAGAAAUUACCUCUACCCCCAGUGAAACCAGGACACCAAAUAAAACAAAACCUGCAGAUAGGUCAGUAAAGCUUGGACAGAAUAAGCCUGGCAAACUUCUGUCCUGAGGGAGUGCAAAUUCAGUACAAAUCUUAUGGCUUGCUACUGGCAGUGACACUGGUGUAUUCCAGAGCUAUAUGGCUGUAGGAGAACAGGUGGCACUGAGCAGAUUUCCUGCACUGAUAUUCCCUAAUGUUGAGGCUGUAAUCUUUUGUAUUUGAUUAGUUUAAGCCAGCUUUCUGACAAACGACUUCACAGCUGAUGACCUGAUACAGUCAGAACUUAAAUAAUACAGGAAAAAAUGUUGUGGCAGAAAGACAAUGAUAAAAGACGUCUCCACAGAGAGUGUUCUCGCUUUAUGUGAAAACCGGGUGUUUUCCUCUUCAGUCAUGCCAAAGCAGGUGUAGAAGUCAUCUAUGUUUACUCAAUCACAAGGGCAAAUUUUAAAAUGAAAGAUGAAACCUUCCACUUAAGGGAAAUAAAGUUCAGGUGCAGUACUCAGUAAUUCUCUGCAUUUAAGUUACACUGAAUAUUUGCAGCUAUUGGGACAAAGGAAACACUUAUUUUGAUUUACGAUCACUUUGAUUUUUAAUAUGUGUGUCAAAAUCUGAUCCUCAUGAUCAGCUUACUUGCUUUCAGCCCAAGACCUCUGGAGAAAGAUAACAAAGUAAUAUGUCACCUUCACACUUUGUUAAAAAAUGUUGGAAUGGAAAAUAAAGAAGGGACAGUCAGGGCUCUAUUAGCGAAGAUCUUAUCUAUGUUGGAGCAGAGAUGCCUUUAUUCUGAUGCUUGCUCCUAACACAUAUCUUUUGUUACAUAGGAAUUGUACCUUGAGACCUUAGUUUUUAUUCUUCCACCACUGACCACUAGGCUAAAUGUUACAUUGCAGAAACACAUUUGUCUUCCUCUUGUUUCUAUCCAUCACCAUGAUACAAGAAAUCUUUAUGUAUUUUUUGGCACAGUGUCAGUCAGGAGGGAUAAGGGGAUGGUCAGUCUUUUUUGUAAAAGUGAACUCUAUAACCUAGGGACAGCCUUCCCAUGGAAAGGAGAAAUGUGGCUGUAAGAUAUUUUCCCCAGGGCUCAAGGGAGCAGUGGAGUAAUUUUCCCCCUUACUAAACAAGCACUCUACCAUAUUAUUGUUUUGUAAAGGUUGACAUAAUAUCCAGAUAAGUUUUAAACAAAAUCCCAAAUAAACAUUAUUUGUGUCUGGUGUUAGUAUUUUUUAAGAAAGCUCUUGGAACAUGUACAAGGUGAGACCUUUCAUAGAGUUUAGUUGAAUGAAACCUAGUUACUGACCUGUAAGUUGACUUACAUCUGCUGGUCAAAUUAUAGCAAUUUUGUUCCCAGCUAAAAAUCCAAAAUAACAUGUUUUGCAAAAAUGAACAGUUUUUAAAAAAGACUGAAGUCUUAAAGUGGACUGAGUUUGCAGAGUAAAGUAUUAUAUCCCACUAUGGAAAGCACCUAUUAAUCUUAAAGAUUGUUAUCAUCGUGCAAUACAAAAUCAGGCAGACAUUCCAAGCAGCCAGGCAAAUGCAAAAUAUCAGAUUAGAUGCUUUCUAGCCACUUUUAUUCCCUGUUAUGGAGAGAGUUACAUGAAGAAAGGGAAAGAAUUACAGUAAAAAAGUCCGUUCUAGCAGAAAAAGGCUACAGUGUGUCCCACUGCAUUGCAGGUUACCCAAAGGGAAGAUCAUGCAACUUCCUUGGGCAAAAAAUCACCUACUAAGCUCUUUUGUUGAGAGGAAAGGGUAGUAGCUGUUGAUUCAGGCAACGUGGGAAAGGGCAAAUGCAGACUGAACAUCAAGCUAAGAAGAAACUGUGAAUUGUAGAGAAUGUUUUAUAGGAACCAUGAAAACUAGCCUUUAAAAAGCACCUUGAGAAACAUGAGAUUAUCCUGCUCAAAAUGAGAGAAUGUGAUGUCUUUAUUUCCUUUGCUUUGCAUAUGAAAUGCUCAAUCAAUAAAUAAUAAGUCUUCUUCUUUUAUUCCAGGAAAUGUACUUAUCUUCCUCUUGUUGAAAGAUAAAAAUAGCUAAAUAAUAAUGUAGUAUAAAAGCUGUUUUUUUGUAAUUAAAACUAACAAGAUGGUUGCCUUGUACUUCAGAUGAGAUUGUAAGACUGAGAGAAUAACAUGACAAAGGUAUCCAACAAUUGAAGUCUGGGCAGUUAUAUUUUACACUACACUGGUACUUCUGAGCAUGAAGGAAGUAUAAUUGUGUAUUAUAGUGCAACAACUACAUUAAGUGUUGGAGUUCUUUUCCAUAGCUCUUAAAUUCACUCUUCUCUUUCAGAAAACUACUUAGUGUUAAGACAAGUUAGGCUGUGUUUCUCUGGCUGAUUUGAAGAGGGAUAUGUACCUAAGACUGGGAUUAUCACAUGCCUUCCCUUUGGGUUACAAGUAUGGAAGAAAAGAACAAAGAAUUGUUGAAGUGUCUUUGGAAGAAUGCCAGGUUCUCUACUGUUCUUCUUAGCAUAUGCCUGUUACUCCUUUCCAUCUAAUUGCUAAAUUUCCUAACCAGGAUUUCAGCACUUUCCUCAGAAGAUUGUAUUAGAGUCUAAUGGAUCAGAAAGUAUUUUCUAAUAUACAUCUAAAAUUAUCUUUUUCUCAAGGUAAGCUAUUACUUCUUUAGGCAGUUAUAGUCUGUUGUGAUUCUUGAAAUAAUUCCUUUCCUUCCUCUCUGCCUGUAUCCACCUACAAUAUGUAGGUGAUCACUUAGCAAAAUUAUAGGAUUAUAUAUUUUUAUUCACACCUCAUAAAUCAGUUUAUUCCAUUACCUAACAGUAGUAUUUUGUCUUUUCUGAGCUAAUUUUGCAUAGUAGUAAUGUUGUCACAGUGCUGAAGAUAGACUGAAGUUCUAAUCAAGGCUGAAAAAAACCCUUGCCACCUGUAAAUUCUGAUAUACAUCGGCAAUUUUCGCCAUCCAUUUUCAAUCUGUGUAUUUUAUUCUGCAGCUGACUUCGUUCUCCCUGUUCACAUUUGAAACUUCCUUUUAUCACUGAUGUUUUCUUCACAAUGAAAUUCGUUUUAGUCCAGUUUCACCAAGGUGCUAGCUCAUGUGUCUCUGAGCUCAGUCUUUAUUUUCAGUCUAUGUCAUGAAAGCAUGUUCAGAGGUAAUUUGGCAUAGAUCUAAGUGAGCAUGUCUCUGAAAUCACUGUAGGCUGCCAUGCUAAUGAGCAAUCUAUACAGCAAGUAGAAGAAAGCUGUCUGGAAUGGAGGUGAGGAUGGUAACUCUGACUGGAAUGGCCUCCUGUGAAGGAAAUGAAAUCUCCCUGAUAGGCAAUAGUGAACGUGCACACCCAGAUAGACAUUGCCAUGGGUCAGUGUAGCACCUACAUUAUCUAGGGCGCUUAAGUAAGAACUCUCUUUCAGUACAAUUAGACAAAAUUUCAUUAGUUUUUAGUUCUGACCUUGUCUAAGUCACACCACUUUUAGUCAUACUGGCUAGUACUAGUUACCCCAUUAAGAAAGCCCUCAUGACCUGAGCUAGUCUUGGGUUUUUACUUCUCUUGUAAUAUUCUAUUUCUGGAUUGUAUGUGACAACUGGUUGAAAUUAUAAGCACAACCUGUAUUUUAAUUUUUUUCUCCAGAAAUUAUGAAUUUUUAAAUUAAUCAAUAGAAUAACUCACUAGAUAAGACAGUUGUGGGAAAGUCUCAUAGCAAAAUGAAACGAUUUUUCAAUUGUAACAAGGCUUAAUUAUUUUUUAAUGGAAAUAUUCUAUACAAAAUAAAUUGACAAAUAUUUUUUAAAGUGAAAUCCAGCAAUAUUUUAACAGCUCCUUCUGUCUUUUAAAAUACAAUUCUAACAUAUAUUUUCAAAAUAUUGCUAUAGAAUAAAAGGAAAAUGGGUACAAUGCUAAAUAAUUCUUUUUCUUCUGGUCAUCAUGGCUUGAUGGCUGGAAGUGACACCCUUGCUUUGACACAACUUUGCUCUGGUUUUUGUUUUUUACAGAAAUGUCCAUUCAUUGACUUCAAAAAUUGCUGUUACUCUUCUGCUUCUUAUUGAUUCCUAGUCCCUAUUUAAAUAUGUAUAGUUUUUCCUGUUCCAAAACUACCACAUGAGAUUUUGAUUCUUUGAGGAGACUAUUAUUUCUGGGCAAGAAAUACAUGGUACAGAGAGACAAACCAUCCUUAGUUUACUCUUUUUCGUAAAGGUGAAACUGCUGAGUAAAACAAGCACUGGGCAAUAAUACCUUAUUUGUGUAAUACCUUAUCUAUGAUAAUUUAUAGGUGAGGAUCUUGUUGUAUUCUACAGUGCUCACAUUUUAUGAGGGAAUACUGACAGCCUUACUCUAAAAUAUAUAUGGAGAUAAAAUAAAAAUUAUAUGGACUUAGGCUACCUUAUAACAAUAUGUUUCUAGCUCUACUUUAUGGCUUUAGGUAAAAAAAAAAACCCUAAAAACUUAAAAAAUCCUAAACAAUCUAUACCUGUACAAAAUCUUGGCUUUGUGGUUUAUGACCCGUAGCAAAAAAAAUUCUCUCCUCUUUUAGUGGAAUUAAAUUACAAAGGUGAAUUUUGAAACCUUCAUUACUAUGUUACUUUCACUGUAAAAAGCACAAAAGAAUGAAAGUUUUAGUAAAGUUGGCCUAUUUGGAGCAUUUUAACUUUCUGCAGCUGGCAGGAUUUGAUUUUGUCUUGAUUUUCAAGAUCUUUUUCUAGUACUGUCUUAUAUGCAUCUAUUUGUGCUAUGCAAGUGUACUCACUAACUUUGUGCAUGUAACUGAUAAUCAGUUUUUACAACCUCUGUCAUAACACAGAAGCCUGAAGAAAUAGCUUUCCUAUGAAACAAAUGAAAAAUCACAGAAGUUUAUAAAUUAAUUUAUUGUCAUUACAUUUAUAUCACUUCAGUAUUAUAAAAAUAUAUUUUGUUAAUUUUUCAUAUGCACCAGUGAUGUUGUUGCUAAUUUUAUUUUUAAUUAUAAAAAAGCUUUGUAUCUUCUGUAAUUUCCUCUAAAAAAACUCAAAGUGUCUUCAUAGGACAUCUUAUUAAACUAUUUGCUAUUAAUGAAUUAGGUCCUUAAAAUCAAAUGCUAACACUUCUUACAAUAGAAUAUAAGAGCAUACCAUCCUGCUAAGCAUGUGUUUUAGAUUAAAUUUAUGUUUAACUCAUCAUAGGCAUCUGAGAAGUUGCAUUUCUUGUCAUACUGAAAUUUACUGCAAUUAGUAAACGUUCCUAAUUGCUUAUCUGUCUACUGUUAGAAGUAAACAUGUUCACAAAAAGGCCAUGAUAUUAAUAAAAAAAAAUUCUUAUUAAAAAACAUUUACAUGAGCAGUAGAGAAAUGGUAUGCCUGUAAGAAAAGUGUCUAAAAAUAUCUAUUCCAAUUUUCAAGUACAGUUUCUAUACAAAAGUUCAAGUUUUUUUGUCAUAUAUUGCUGUCUGAAAUCUAGAAAACCUUCCUGAAAAAAAUAAUAUUGUACUUGA